rnacentral:rRNA from 1 species
ACUUAAAUUGAAGAGUUUGAUCAUGGCUCAGAUUGAACGCUGGCGGCAGGCCUAACACAUGCAAGUCGAGCGGUAGCACAGAGAGCUUGCUCUCGGGUGACGAGCGGCGGACGGGGGAGUAAUGUCUGGGAAACUGCCUGAUGGAGGGGGAUAACUACUGGAAACGGUAGCUAAUACCGCAUAAUGUCGCAAGACCAAAGUGGGGGACCUUCGGGCCUCAUGCCAUCAGAUGUGCCCAGAUGGGAUUAGCUUGUAGGUGGGGUAACGGCUCACCUAGGCGACGAUCCCUAGCUGGUCUGAGAGGAUGACCAGCCACACUGGAACUGAGACACGGUCCAGACUCCUACGGGAGGCAGCAGUGGGGAAUAUUGCACAAUGGGCGCAAGCCUGAUGCAGCCAUGCCGCGUGUGUGAAGAAGGCCUUCGGGUUGUAAAGCACUUUCAGCGGGGAGGAAGGCGGUGAGGUUAAUAACCUCAUCGAUUGACGUUACCCGCAGAAGAAGCACCGGCUAACUCCGUGCCAGCAGCCGCGGUAAUACGGAGGGUGCAAGCGUUAAUCGGAAUUACUGGGCGUAAAGCGCACGCAGGCGGUCUGUCAAGUCGGAUGUGAAAUCCCCGGGCUCAACCUGGGAACUGCAUUCGAAACUGGCAGGCUAGAGU